ACUCAAAGGAAUAGACGGGGGCCCGCACAAGCGGAGGAACAUGUGGUUUAAUUCGAUGAUACGCGAGGAACCUUACCCGGGAUUGAAAUGUGUCUGAUUUACUGUGAGAGCAGUAUUCCGCAAGGCAGGCAUGUAGGUGCUGCAUGGUUGUCGUCAGCUCGUGCCGUGAGGUGUCGGCUUAAGUGCCAUAACGAGCGCAACCCUGGCUGUCAGUUGCUAUCAGGUAAUGCUGAGGACUCUGGCGGGACUGCCGGCGUAAGCUGUGAGGAAGGUUGGGAUGACGUCAAAUCAGCACGGCCCUUAUAUCCGGGGCGACACACGUGUUACAAUGGCAUGGACAAAGGGUUGCUACUGGGUGACCGGAUGCUAAUCUCUAAACCAUGUCUCAGUUCGGAUCGGAGUCUGCAACUCGACUCCGUGAAGCUGGAUUCGCUAGUAAUCGCGCAUCAGCCAUGGCGCGGUGAAUACGUUCCCGGGCCUUGUACACACCGCCCGU
rnacentral:rRNA from 1 species